rnacentral:rRNA from 1 species
AGCAGUCGCCGCGGUAAUACGUAGGUGGCAAGCGUUGUCCGGAAUUAUUGGGCGUAAAGGGCUCGCAGGCGGUUUCUUAAGUCUGAUGUGAAAGCCCCCGGCUCAACCGGGGAGGGUCAUUGGAAACUGGGAAACUUGAGUGCAGAAGAGGAGAGUGGAAUUCCACGUGUAGCGGUGAAAUGCGUAGAGAUGUGGAGGAACACCAGUGGCGAAGGCGACUCUCUGGUCUGUAACUGACGCUGAGGAGCGAAAGCGUGGGGAGCGAACAGGAUUAGAGACCCCUGUAGUCCCUGUCUCUUAUAC